UAAGCAUAUUGCCGAAGACAGUAGGUGCCGCAAGGCAUAAAGGUCAAUCACCUACCGAGGAGAUUAUAAUCAUUGAAAAUGAUUUUUGCCUCUCUGUCUGCGGACAGAGAGGUUUUU
rnacentral:sRNA from 1 species